UGGGUUGUAGCUUAGCAGUAGAACGCUCGCCUAGCAAGCGUGAGGCGCUGGGUUCAAUUCUCAGCACCACAU
rnacentral:tRNA from 1 species